rnacentral:rRNA from 1 species
AGUCUGCAACCCGACUCCGUGAAGCUGGAUUCGCUAGUAAUCGCGCAUCAGCCAUGGCGCGGUGAAUACGUUCCCGGGCCUUGUACACACCGCCCGUCAAGCCAUGGGAGCCGGGGGUGCUUGAAGUGCGUCGCCGCAAGGCGCGCCCUAGAGCAAAACCGGUGACUGGGGCUAAGUCGUAACAAGGUAAC